CACUAGAGAAUGUGAUUUUUCCUGAACAACUGCAUACUUCCUACUAUGCCUUUUGGGAAACUACCCAGAUUUCCCACAAUAUGUACCUGAUAUGGAGAGGAAAAAAGCAAACCAUGGUGGUCUAAGCAGCUUAGAUUUGAUAAAAAUAAUAAGAGUGGUUCCUUCAGUUCAUUUUCCAAACCAUUCUGCCAGAACAAGCUGGUUCUUCUGGGAAGACGGAACUGCCUACGGCCAUAUGCACCCAUCUGUUCUUCUCUACAAAAAUGCGUUGGCCUUUUCCACACAGAGCCAGUGGGUGGUGGGGGUGACCACUGCAGGUGGACAGGCCAGAUUGGAAGAGACCCCAUUCUAGAGAGGGUCCUGUCCCAUACCCAGAAGGAAGGAAUGCUGCACAGAGGCCAAGAAUCCAGACAGACAGGCCUUGCUGGGCUUCCCCACUCAGUCUGUUUGUGUUAGACCAUGCCUUCUUUGUCCACUCAUGUUUCUACCAGCCUGACCAUACUUUGCUGAGCCAAAGCAUGAACAUGGACAGUUUGCUCUAUAUCUUUGGGUCUUCAUCCUGAAGGAUCCUGUGUCAC